AGCUUUCCUCGGUCCCAUAGGCACAGGUUGAUACUUGAUACAUCCUCCCACCAGGCCACCGAAUUCCCCCAUCCACCGCCGCACCAACCCAUCGAGAAGCCCUCCCCCGAUACGCGCCUCUCUCCUUCCGAUCGAGCGACCCCACGCCUCCCGAUCGAAUCACACGCAUCGCUCCUCUCCGCUGCGCCGCCGCGGAUGCCGCCGCCGUCCUCCCCGCGCCCCAGAUGCCGCAUCGCUCCUCUCCACUGCGGCGCCGCGGACGCCGGUGCCGUUCUCCCCUGCGGAUGCCGCCGUCAUCGCAGCCCUCGGGCGCCGCGCCGUCCAUCCGUCGCCGCCAUCCCCGGCAGCCGCGAUCCGUGCCCACGUCCUCCUCCGCCGCGUCACGAGGCUUCCGCCUCCGCGCCAACCUGCUGAUGUCCAAGAGCAGCUGUUGUCAGGGUGCGGCGAUUGACGCCCUAGCGGAGGCCAAGGUACUUUAGGUUUGGAGACCUAUAUGGUUGAAAUCAAGAGAAGGUGGAAGUGCACAUCAGAACUUUGAACUCACUAGAUGGCAUGCGAACUAUGGCAGCCACUUCUCAGCCCCGCGCUUGCCACCUCUCCUUCCUUGCCUCAUGGCGGCGCAGCCUAGAGAAUUGGGAUCGAACUGCAGGAAGGGGCACAGAGAAGAAGUCUAAUUCGGCCUAGACGCAUGGAUCUCAAAUAGUCAGUUACUUCAAGUCAAAAGCCUGUAGAUUUUUAGUUGCAUUGCACUGAACUUGGUUUUGAUUUUCUUUGGCUUAGCCUGUGAAGACGAUGUCCGUGGACUCAACUCCAAAUGAUGCUUAUGAAGUUCAAGAGCUCAGCAUCCAUGAAUGUUCCCAUGCUGAACAGAGAUUAAAAAAAAACGAGAUGGCAUGGCAUUGUAACCCUACGAUUGUAUUUUGGGUCUAUGGAAUCUCUCGGAGCAAAUAGUACUCCCUUUGUAUGGAAAAGGAUGCCGCGCGGGUUAUUUUGCGAAAAACCCCUCACGUUUUCUCCGACAAGCAUCUCCGUCCAACACGCUUGCUGCUGUCCUACUCCGCCACAUCGUCUCCCAUCCGCCGCUUCGCCGUGCCUCGCCCGUCGCCCGUGCCGCGCCGCGCCGGCCACCACGCCUCCUGCGCCACGCUGCUCCCCGCGCCUCCUCCCGCGAUUCGGACAGCUGACGGAGGGGGCGGUGAAGCAGCUGUCGGAGCAUCCCCUCGGGGCCGGCACCAUCUUCCCGGUGCGCGGGCGGAGGCGGGGCCGUCCCCACGAAGCAUGCUCAUCUCCAACGGGUCAACUCGCAGCAGUCCGUCAGAGCUUAUUGAAACUUACUCAUUGGAGAGCACUGAUAGAGCAUCGAAUUUCAUCAUUGGGGAACUUGAGGUGGAGAUGGUUCCUUAAUCUGCAGUAAAAGUACCAAGGUUGAGGCACAAUUGCAGAGACUUCAAUCACAACUUCAGUUCAGUUCAGGUUCAGGCGCAGCUGCAGCCUCAACUUUGCUUCAGUUCAGUGAAUUGUCCAACUUCAGUUCAGGCUCUGCAGGGAUUGAAAUUGAGGAUCAGAGGAAGGCGGCGACCUCGUCCUCGUCUAGGUCCUCGACGACCUCAGAGGUCCAGGUCCUCGUCCUCGACGGAGGGCGGCGGACGGCGAGGGAACUGCGGAGGCGGCUGCAGACGAAGGAGGGAGCACGGCUAGCAGGCUGGCCGCCCUCCGCCCGGCGCGUCUGGCAGGAGCUCCGCGUGCCUCCGGUGGCGCAAGGACAGUGGGAAGGCGACGGAUGGUACGGAGGGCAGCACGAUGGAUCUGCGCGUCUGCGUGCUCUGGCGGGAGGCCGGCGGGAGCUCUGCUUGCCUCCGGCGGCGCGAUGACAGUGGGACGAAGACGGAGGGCAGCGCGAUGGGAAGAUUUGGUUUUGAAUUUCAGGUUUGAAUUUCAAAUUUCAAAUGAUCCGAACGUUUGGGGGAGUUUUUGCAAAAUUUGAAUUGCAUUGGAGGUGGAGGAGGACGCGACAUCCUUUCCCAUCCAGAGGGAGUA